rnacentral:lncRNA from 1 species
CCAACAGGUGAAUUACAGGAGAAGGUGAUUCACUCAAUCCAACCAGGAGACUGGGUGUGGAUCCAGUCCCUGAGGAGAAAAGAACUGGAAGCAGCCACAGUGGGAGGGGCCAUACCAAGUGCUCCUGGUAACAGCCUUUGCGGUGAGAAUAGCUGAAAGAGCUACCUGGGUUCAUAUCACACAUUGCGGGAGGGUAAGACACACUGACACUGUCGAACAAUCACAGAGUUGGAGAAGAACCGAAUACCAAUAAGGUUCGGGGGUUACCUCUCUAACGAAGAUUCCCUAACCCGCCCGAUCCUCACUGUGUGCGUUCAUAGAAGUGAAAGUGUGGGUUGGCCUCUAGCCAGUGAUAUGUUCUCCGGGAGGGGGUGCGGCUUUACAGAGGUACUGGUCGGUCUGAGCUGUCUGAUUGUGGGAGCCAUAUUCCUAAUACACCAUGAACCACUCGAGAAGUCAGAAAGUGGUAACUUGACCCAUAGUGUAGAAGAUGAGGAGUUUUUAUGCCCUAGGUACAAAAGGUCAUUCGAGCUGGAUAAAAAGGAAGUGAGAGUAGAGUUAGGGAAGGAUGUCUCAAUAGAGUUCUAUGCAGACCAAAUGGGGUCCCUAACCUCCUGGCAGUCUAGGACUCUGACUUCAUGGGGAAGAUAUCUGUGUAGAUCCCUGUGUAACUCAUGGAAUCAGGUCAUAGCUCACACAGGGAGAGAAGGCUAUGUCAAUCCACACACCCAAUAUAGAAACAGAUGGAGUAUAGUGAAAGCCAGGGUUUUUGACUGCAAUCCAGAGCAAGGGAAGUAUUGCUUAAAGGUAUGAAUUACCAUUAAAAGCGUUAAAAAAGGAGGAUUUAGGGUUAUGGUAUGUUGACCUUGACCAGACCAGUGUCGACACUACGGUACCAUUCCGAGUAGUAGAGGUUAGGACAGGAUACCAGUUGUACCCCUGAUAAAACGGACAUUACUCGUGUAGUCAUCCAGAGCCAAGGACUGGUGAGGAUAGUUCAGACGAAAGAUCUUAAGGAAUCACAAGAUGAGACAUCCGCCAGAGACAACAGCUACGCCAGGAAACAGGAGUGCGUCUAGAGGUUGGGACCAACCUGCACGCCAACGAUAGGCUGGAAUAAGUCUAAACCAUAUUCUAGCCUCUACUAUGACAGGCCCUCAUGGAGAGGGAACUAAGUCUGUCCAGUAUUUAAGGAAGAACUUGUGAUGUCAUACCAGUGUUCUCUGUCUGCCCUGCGGGGUUUACAGGGAGCCCGUAUAUACGAGCCACAUAUUUACCAUUCAAGUGUUUGCAUUAAUUAAAGUACACAGAAAUCAGAAGUUACUAUGUGCUGACUAUUUUGUUAUGAUACCAGAUUCGAAUUGACGCGACUUAACAUGG